CCGGGCACCGGCGGCUAUCGGUGUGCCUGGGGAGGGAGGUGGUGCCGCGGGUCUGGAGCAUGACCCGAGCGCAGGUGUGGGCAGGCAGCCUGCUCCCAGGCCGAAAUCACUUCCCAAACACUACCAUAUGUUACAGUGCCGGGACCAGAAGGGGAGAGGGAGGCACAGUUGGGAGAAAGCAGGAGAGCUGCCAAGAUAAAGAAUUCAUUACAGAAGGAGUCAUGUCGUGAUCUCACACUGGAGACGAGUGAAAUAUUCUGUGUGAUUUAACAUUUGGUGAAAAUACCCCAAACCACAUGCUGCCCUUCCCCCAGCCCCUUCUACCGACCGGGGUUGCUUGGAGCCUCCAAAUCUUUAGUUUCAUUUCAUCAGAGCCUUAAAACCUUGUUGUGCAGUGCAUUGUUGCUUUAGUCAAUUUCAGUAUGGGAUGAAACCGACCUAGUGUGUGUGCUGAAUAAAACCACCUUUGGUUACACGGUUUUAGUGGAGAAGUAGGAAUUUCAUAGGGGACGUAACAGGCAAGCUUCACAUCAUCUUAGUUUGCAGAAGGCUAUCUUCCCUGGGUUUGCAGACAGUGAUGUAGUUUAUAACAUGGGAAAGCUGCACAGUAGAUUUGCCAACACCCAUAAACAUUUCCCCCCACCCUGUUUCUUGGCUGGUGUCCAUUUUUCUCCUUUUGAGUUUUUCUUUUGUUGUCCAGAAAAAAAAAUCAGACUUCAGUUGUUCACAGAAACAGGCAGUGCGACAUUUCCACCGUGCCCUUGUUCUUCAUUGAAGUUUUGGAUAUGCAGCCUGUGCCUGCUGAGGUGCAACAAGAGAGCACAGGAACAGGGCAGGGUCACCAGCCGAUGCUGAACAACAGGGCAGAGGUGCAGGGCAGAAGGCACAGAUAAUAGUGCCAAAGAAAUAUCCUUACUGUGAACCACCCUUCUUCUUUUUCACGGCUCAGCUUUCAGGGCUGGAUGAAAGCUUCAGGAGGACCAAUGGUAGAGAGUUGUGCACCCAGAUUCUGAUGGUAUGGCUGGAAAUAUGCACUACCAGGAUGUCCAUGGGCGAUGACAGCUGCCUAAUGAUGCCCACACUUGGAUCGGUAUGCUCAGUUUCACCAGACAGCAGGAAGUCUGCAGCCUGGCCUGAGUCCUGGCCAGGCUUCCCAUGGUCAGAAGCCUCCCUCUAUCGACCAACAGUUUCACUGUUCAAGGGGGAGAAGCUUUGGUUAGAAGCGAGAACAGGAGCUGAUCUACCGGGUAUCAGGGACCUCUUACAAAAGGGCUUUUGUAUCAAAAUCAAACAAUGUAAUAAAUGUGUCUGCAUAGAUUUCAGUGGUUUCUACAUUGACUUCUUUUUGUUAAUUAAAGGCACACAUAAUGCUGUUGAAGGAGUUAGUCCAGCAGGGCUAGGAAAUGAAAUUCUGUUUGUUUAUAAGAAUAAACUAUCUUCCUGCCACUGUAUCUCUGUUCCUAACCAUAGUGGGAAAAGUGCAUUACUGUGGCUGCAUGUUUCUUACCUGAAGGGCCUUCAAACGAGACCUGUGGAGAACUGAAUCAGUGUGCUGUUAGCAUUCAGGAUUGACUGCACAGUCUUGGAUGUACAAACAUGCUUGUCGUUUAAAGUCACUCAGAAGAAGGAGGAGAAAUUUGCUGACCCGUGUUCAAGUGGCUGUGUUUAUGUGAUUACAAACAGUGUAGGUGAGGCCCUCAGUGAUAUGGUUUAGUGGUGCUCUUAGAAGUCCUGGGGUAAUGCUUGGUCUUUUUCUCAACUAGAUCUUUUCCCACCUAGUUGAUUCUGUGAUUCUAUGAUUCUGUGACCUGUUAUUUGGUAGUUAUUUGGGAGAAGAACUCAGAAUAUAGUGAUAUGUAUGGCUAUUUGCCAUUUUGAUGGCUCCAAGAAUAAAAGGAAGAAAAA